rnacentral:rRNA from 1 species
AAAGCGGCGGACGGGUGAGUAAUGCUUGGGAAUCUACCUAGUAGUGGGGGAUAACGUGUGGAAACGCACGCUAAUACCGCAUACGAUCUACGGAUGAAAGCGGGGGACCUUCGGGCCUCGCGCGAUUGGAGCGGCCGAUGUUAGAUUAGGUAGUUGGUGGGGUAAUGGUCUACCAAGCCGACGAUCCAUAGCUGGUUUGAGAGGAUGAUCAGCCACACUGGAACUGAGACACGGUCCAGACUCC